UGGGGAAUAUUGGACAAUGGGCGAAAGCCUGAUCCAGCCAUGCCGCGUGAGUGAUGAAGGCCUUAGGGUUGUAAAGCUCUUUUAGCAGGGAAGAUAAUGACGGUACCUGCAGAAAAAGCCCCGGCUAACUUCGUGCCAGCAGCCGCGGUAAUACGAAGGGGGCUAGCGUUGCUCGGAAUUACUGGGCGUAAAGCGUGCGUAGGUGGUUGUUUAAGUCUGUCGUGAAAGCCCUGGGCUCAACCUGGGAAUGGCGAUGGAAACUGGGCGACUAGAGUGUGGCAGAGGGUAGUGGAAUUCCUGGUGUAGCAGUGAAAUGCGUAGAGAGCAGGAGGAACAUCCGUGGCGAAGGCGACUGCCUGGGCCAACACUGACACUGAGGCACUAAAGCGUGGGGAGCAAACA
rnacentral:rRNA from 1 species